rnacentral:rRNA from 1 species
GAUGAACGCUAGCGGCAGGCUUAAUACAUGCAAGUUGAGGGGCAGCAUGAUAUACGCGAGUAUAUUGAUGGCGACCGGCGGACGGGUGAGUAAUAGGUAGGAGACCUACCUCAUACAGGGGGAUAGCAUAGAGAAAUCUGUGGUAAUACCCCAUGAGGUUAUAUGAAUAGAGGCAUAUAAUCAAAGCAUAAGCGAUUAUGCGGUAUGAGAGGGGCCUACUGACCAUUAGCUAGUUGGUGAGGUAAGGGCUCACCAAGGCGAAGAUGGUUAGGGGUUUUGAGAGAGAGACCCCCCACAUUGGAACUGAGAGACGGUCCAGACUCCUACGGGAGGCAGCAGUAGGGAAUAUUGGGCAAUGGGCGAAAGCCUGACCCAGCCAUGCCGCGUGAAGGAAGACGGCCUUAUGGGUUGUAAACUUCUUUACUACGCGAAUAGAGGUUAGUACGAGAUACUAAUAGGAAGGUAGUGUAGUAAAAAGCACCGGCUAACU